GGAAAUUGAGAAGCAAAGAGGAUUUAAGCAGAAGCAGGCUUAGCAAGAGCAGUAACAACACCAGCAAAACCAAAAUGAGAACCCAAAUGAAAUUUGAAACAAUUCAAAGCCAGCCAGUCUGAUAUCAACCCAGUUGACUUUAAUACCAGACCUCAAACAACCAACAGUCAUCUCAUUUUAACAUAGUAGAAUAAGGUAAUUAUCUCAGAAGCUCAAAUUUUCAAAAAAAAAGACUCAACAGGUG
rnacentral:lncRNA from 1 species